rnacentral:lncRNA from 1 species
UCAACUGUGGCGACUUCUUCUUUCUUUUUCCUCCCUAGCGCACCUCAUGUACCACUCUAAAUAGCUUGGGUUGUUUCCUUAAGUGCCGAGUAAUUAAGGAUUUUAUCGGACCUCAGUCCCUCCACUAUCAUAACCCCUAUCUUUACUACUUCAUUUAAAGAUUUUUCGAUCGUCGUCACCAAGUGACCAAAGUAAGUUGGGUCCAGCGUUUGCAGGAAGUAGUCCACCAUUUCCACUAUCUCAAGGGAGGAUCAACCCUGGCUGCUUGUUCUCUCCAGCAGAAACCGAAUUCAC